ACAGGUCUGUGAUGCCCUUAGAUGUUCGGGGCCGCACGCGCGCUACACUGACCGGAUCAGCGUGUGCUCUCCUUGGCCGACAGGUCCGGGAAACCCGUUGAACCCCGGUCGUGCUAGGGAUAGGGAAUCGCAAUUAUUUCCCUUGAACGAGGAAUUCCCAGUAAGCGCGAGUCAUUAGCUCGCGUUGAUUACGUCCCUGCCCUUUGUACACACCGCCCGUCGCUACUACCGAUUGAAUGGUUUAGUGAGGUCCUCCGAUUGGACCCGGUCCGGGCGGCGACGUCCGAGCCGGCGUCCGAGAAGACGAUCUAACUUGAUCAUUUAGAGGAAGUAAAAGUCGUAACAAGGUUUCCGUAGGUGAACCUGCGGAAGGAUCAUUA
rnacentral:ncRNA from 1 species